AUCUCUGCGUGACUUCCGCCAGCGUUUAGAGCGUUUUCGGGGUCCGAGUUGAAGAGCAAAACCAAGUGAAGGAAACUUCACUAAGUUCAGGGUGACAAGGGAGGAAGUACAGAGACUGCACUUUAAAUUCUGGAUGACAGACCUAUCAGGACUGAGUGGACCUUUGAGUGACAAGAUGGGGGUGUUCCAAAGAGACCAUGGCAGCCUGCAGCUAGGACUUUAAUAAACAGAGCGCUUAAAAAGCACUGUCUGGAUAUCUUCAGAGGGAAAAAGGAGAAAGUUAACUGAAUUGGUGACACUUCGGGUCUCUCACAGAGGAAGAUUAGAUGAAGGUGACCUUCCCCUUCGCCAAGCAGAAUCUCCCAUGAGACUCAUGAAUCCUCUUGAGGCCAAUUACAGCUAUCACUUGUUAACUGUUGGAGUACUUUCAGUCUUAAAAGAGCUGCUAGAAAAUUAAGGCUGCAACAUGAAAGAAGAACAAAAUGGUCAGGCAUAUCACACGUUUUUAUCAAAUGAUUUGGUUUAGGACUUGAUAACCUGGUUAGUACUUGAGCACUGAAAGAUAUUUUGAAUUUAAAGUAAGAUGGAGAAAGUGAUGGAAGCUAAAUCACAGAGGAUAGAAAUACGAUCAAUCGUAUUCAGAACAGAAACAUCUUGGGCUCAAUGUCUGGGAACAAUGAGAAGAUUAGGCUGCUUUAGAACUUAGCUCUCAUUUGUUUUGGUAACCUCCACCUGCAAGAGGACACUCUUCCGUCCCAGUGAGACUGAGGUGAGAAUCACAAGACCACUGCCCUCUAUCUCAUCUUUUCUCCAAGCCUUAGACCAUCAUGGGAUUCACUAACAUCAUUCACACUUCAGGAGUGAUAUAUCAGAGUGAGCCCCUCUUUUCUGCUCAUCUUUCUGCCUCUCUAGAAAAGAGAUAAUUUCACUGUUUACCUCGGGAAACAUGAAAGUUAAUGAUAAAUGUAAAUGAUAGAUGAGGCAAGCAUUGAAAGCUAUAAAGUUGAAAGUAGGACCUAAUACCCUGUAGUAAUGUGUACUCCUUUUUAAAAGAAAACACACAAGUCAUUUAAGAAAGGUUAAUUUCUGCUACCUUUCCAAAAUAUUCUCAGAAUAAUUGGAGAGAAAAAUUGUGACAAAACACUGGGGGCACCAUUGGUGAAAGAAAACUGUAUAUUCUUGUCUUUCAGUCAGGAAAGAAUAAUAUCUACUUGAUCGAAAUGAUUUUUUUCCUCAGAAACUGUGGUACUGGCUACUAGAAAACAGAGAAUUUAAACUAUUAUUUCUCAGAAUGUUUUAUCUCCAUGACCCAAAGAUGGUUUCCCUCCAUGAGAAAAUAUCCCAGUGUUUGUUUUCGAGUUGUCAUCAACACAAAGCAGCAGCACGUUCACAUAUAAUGUGUUUCCAGCUUUUCAAAGCAUUUUCACUUGUUUCUCAAUUGUUUAUUACAAUAAUAACCCUGUGUUGACAUUAUUAUCUUCAUUUCACAAAUGAGGCAGCUCAGAUUCAGACAUUAAGGGACCUUCACAAUAUAUUUAGCUUACGGUGGCAGAACGAAGGCAAAACCAAAAGUCCUUGCCAAAGACUACCUCCAUUUGUCUUCAAUGGACUCCCUGAGUUUUUCAUUGUUGCUCUUUUGUGGUAUGGCUGAAGCCCUCAAAAUUUGGAAAAGACAAGCAAGUACAAGAUAGGCACUUAGAUUGUCAUUCCUCAACUGGCUUCUCUACAGCCUUUUCCUCCCAAUAUAUAAAAUACAGCAAUAAAGAACAGAAGACUAACAUUUUAAACACUGAACUGUUGCUCAAAUUUACUCCUCCUGUAUAAUAGUAUAAUUUGUUCUUAUAAGGUUGUAAAACUGCACUGCAUACUUAAAUUGCAUGUUUCACAUGUCUAUACUAUUCAGCUCCUUUUCUCAUCUCUGCAGUGCCUACCCCCAACAUACUACUGGCUUAACAAUUCCCAUGAAACAGUGUUUGAAUUUAAGAGGCAGGGCUGUGAGAAACACAAAUGGCCAUCCUCUCAUGUAUGUGCUUCUAUCACAGAAAUUUGAUUGUUCUCUAAAGGCAAGCAUGGAUUUUAUUUUAUUUCCAGCAUCUUCAAGGUAAUUAUCUACUUAACCUGCAUAGUAGCAGUUGUUGAGACUCAGUAAACCUCAAAAUGUAGCAUUUUGGUAUGCUAAUUAUUUCAAACUGAGGGCACUUGGGAAACAGCAAAUACAAGAAAGGGCUCUCUCUGAACUCCCUUAAGUGGCUGAAGAUAGAGCCUCCAAAAAGAAACACAAUUGUCAUAGGUAUCCUCCCUGGGAAUCUCAUCAGUGAAGGAAGAUUAACUCACAGGAGACACCACACUCCAGAAAGACUUUGUCACAAACUAUCCAUUACCUCUUCUUCUGAUGAGAUCCUUGGAGACAACUUUUAUUACCUGAGAGAUGUUAUCUGUAUAACAAGACAACCUUUGUUCUCCAUGCAUUCCCUCCUCUUACUCCCCUGCAACUUGUAUAGACACCACCCCCGAUAAACCACCAACCCCUACUCCUUUCUUUAGCUCAGGAUGCUAUAAAAACUUCUAUCAUCUGGCCCCUCUUCAAGUCCUCUACUUUGUGGGACUCCUGUGUGUAAUUAAAAUAGCUUUUCUCCUACUAAA
rnacentral:lncRNA from 1 species